UGAGUUUUUUGAUAAAGAAUA
rnacentral:piRNA from 1 species